GAUGAACGCUGGCGGCGUGCUUAACACAUGCAAGUCGAACGGAAAGGCCCAAGCUUGCUUGGGUACUCGAGUGGCGAACGGGUGAGUAACACGUGGGUGAUCUGCCCUGCACUUCGGGAUAAGCCUGGGAAACUGGGUCUAAUACCGGAUAGGACCACAUUUUGGAUGGUGAGGUGGAAAGUUUUUCGGUGUGGGAUGAGCUCGCGGCCUAUCAGCUUGUUGGUGGGGUAAUGGCCUACCAAGGCGUCGACGGGUAGCCGGCCUGAGAGGGUGUACGGCCACAUUGGGACUGAGAUACGGCCCAGACUCCUACGGGAGGCAGCAGUGGGGAAUAUUGCACAAUGGGCGCAAGCCUGAUGCAGCGACGCCGCGUGGGGGAUGACGGCCUUCGGGUUGUAAACUCCUUUCGCUAGGGACGAAGCGUUAUGUGACGGUACCUGGAGAAGAAGCACCGGCUAACUACGUG
rnacentral:rRNA from 1 species